GGCAAGAUGGCCGAGCGGUCUAAGGCGCUGUGUUCAGGAUAUCUGAGUAUCGCAGUCCGAAAGGGCGUGGGUUCGAAUCCCACUCUUGUCA
rfam:Neurospora crassa OR74A linkage group IV, whole genome shotgun sequence.